GAUGAACGCUGGCGGCGUGCCUAACACAUGCAAGUCGUGCGAGCUCGAUCUUCGGAACGGGUUAGUGGCGCACGGGUGAGUAACACGUAGGUGACCUACCCCAGAGUGGGGGAUAACUUCUCGAAAGAGAGGCUAAUACCGCAUACACUCGGUCAUUCAUUUGGCCGAGCAAAGCUCCGGCGCUUUGGGACGGGCCUGCGUCCGAUUAGCUAGUUGGUAGGGUAAUGGCUUACCAAGGCUUUGAUCGGUAGCUGGUCUGAGAGGACGAUCAGCCACACUGGCACUGACACACGGGCCAGACUCCUACGGGAGGCAGCAGUGAGGAAUAUUGGGGCAAUGGGCGAAAGCCUGACCCAGCAACGCCGCGUGAGGGAUGAAGGCCUUCGGGUUGUAAACCUCUUUCUGGGAGAAGAGACAAGGACGGUAUCCCAGGAAUAAGUCUCGGCUAACUACGUGCCAGCAGCCGCGGUAAU
rnacentral:rRNA from 1 species